UGUGGGAGCGGGCUUGCCCGCGAAGACGGUGUAUCAGUCAAGUAUUUAUCAAUUGACCCUCCGCCAUCGCGGGCAAGCCCGCUCCCACA
rnacentral:misc_RNA from 1 species